AAAACAUUUAAAGCAAUUAAAUUCGCUUUCUCUUUUAUUGCCAACUGCUUUCAAGGUAACAGCUGAAACGUUUGUUCGUUAAAUUUGGUCAAACCUUUUGCAAAGCUUGAAAUCGCUUCUUCCUUUGUUCUUCACAUGUUGUCUCAUCGUAACUUGGCCCCUGUUCGGUAUGGUUUUCUUAUUAACUUUACUGGCACCGUCGUGCCAUGAAGGACAAGUAGCUGCAUAUAGAUUGUAGUAAGUAUAGCUUGAGUUAAAGACCUUUUAAGAUAAGAUACACAUAUAUA